rnacentral:rRNA from 1 species
UAAACUACGAUUAGAUACCCUAUUAUUUUAAACGUAAAUUGUAUAAGCUUGAGUAGUAAUAGUUAUGUUCUUGAAACUCAAAGAAUUUGGCGGUGUUUUAGUCUUUUCAGAGGAACCUGUCCCGUAAUCGAUAAUCCACGUUAAACCUUACUUAUUUUUGUUAACAGCUUGUAUACCGCCGUCGUCAGAAUGUCCUAAGAAGGUUUUAAUUUUCUUGAAUUUUUAUUAAAAAUGAUGUCAGGUCAAGGUGUAGCUUACGAAUAAGUGGAGAUGGGUUACAAUAAAUUUAUUUAAAACGGAUAAAAAUUUGAAACAAUUUUUUGAAGGUGGAUUUGAUGGUAAUUAACUUAAUUAAAUUAAUUUGAUUUUAGCUCUAAAACAUGCACACAUCGCCCGUCGCUCUUA